rnacentral:rRNA from 1 species
UACGGAGGGCGCAAGCGUUGUUCGGAAUCAUUGGGCGUAAAGGGUGCGUAGGCGGCGCGGUAAGUCGGGUGUGAAAUCUCGGGGCUUAACUCCGAAACUGCAUUCGAUACUACCGUGCUUGAGGACUGGAGAGGAGACUGGAAUUUACGGUGUAGCGGUGAAAUGCGCAGAUAUCAGGAGGAACACCCGUAGCGAAGGCGGCACUCUGGGCCGAUACUGACACUGAGGAGCGAAAGCGUGGGGAGCGAACAGG